AAUAUGGUCAUGAAUCUGGUUCGUUUGAAGACUCAGAAGAUUAAAGUUUCUUUUGAUUAAUAAUUUUUUGUUAUGGUGAUUCAUUUCCACUGUGUGGGUUUUCUUAAAAAUAUGUUUAAUAACCCUCAGGGCAGGAUAAUGGCUCCAAGUACCCUCAUAGGUUGGUGCCAUUUUGUUUCUUUUGGUUUUUUGGUAUGGUUUUCUACCCCUCCUGGGUUGUUUCUCUCUUGGGAUGGAUAUAUUUUUAC
rnacentral:lncRNA from 1 species